UUCUUAUUGCAGACUAACAGUAGCUACUAGCCAGUCUAUUGCUAGUUUUCUUCACUAUUAAAAUGUUUACUUUUGUGAUUCACUUUCCCUAAAAUAAAAAAGCUCAGUGAGUGGAUUGAUGAGUGCUUCUUUUUACUCUGGACAGCUUGUGUGUGCAGUGUGAAGGCGUCAACUCAUUUAUUACUUGAGUGCUCGAGAAAUUGUAAUUCGCGAGGAUCGUGGUUGAAUGAAUAGCCAAUCAUAUUGCUCAGAUACAAAUAGCAUGACUCUUCCGUGUGCAGUCUUCAAUAGUUUUCUAUGGCAGACUGCGAUACAGCAGGUAAAUGUUCAACUGGAACUCCAAAAUGCACUGAGAAGUUACUGACCCGGUCGGGCCAGUGACUGACGAGAUCCACUGGCCCGACAAAUGUAGUUUUUUUUACUGGCCCCGGGCCAGUUUGGUUCUGGACUGGAGUGUUUUCUGCAGAAAACAGCUGAGUCCCCACAAUGCAGGGGUCUACAGAGAACAAGAGAGUCACCACAAUGUAGGGGUCUAGAGAGAACAGCAGUCCCCACAAUGCAACUGUCCCCUAUAAAGAAAAGCAGUCCCCACAAUGCAGCAGUCUCCUACACAGGAGAGCAGAACCCACACAAUGCAGUAGUGUCCUACAGAGAGCAGAUCCCCACAAUACAGUAGUCUCCUACAGAGAGCAGAGUCCCCACAAUACAGUAGUCUCCUACAGAGAGCAAAGUCCCCACAAUGCAAACUUGAACUUGCAAACAGAACUUCAGGGGACAGGGUCAUGUUAAUGUCGAACCCUGCCCGGAAGCACAGUGGCCCGGUUUGGCUCUGGACUGGAGUGUUUUUCUGCAGAAAACGGCUUUGUCCCCACAAUGCAGUAGUCUCCUACAGAGAGCAAAGUCCCCACAAUGCAAGCUUGAACUUGCAAACAGAGCUUCAGGGGACAGGGCCACAUUGACAUAACUGACGCAAAGGAGCAGAACAAGAGUCUGUACAUAGAUCACCUUUGUUGGAUGUGCCACAAAUAAUGCAUCCUGACCAGGGACCACUACUUAUUAAAAUAGCCUCCAAGACCUGAUCAUGUUAAUUCAAAUCAUGAUGAUUAACUCAAGCUAAAAUGUAGUCGGCGCAUGUAGGUUUGAAGCAAAGUUAUUUUUGUUCUCACACACACACACACACACACACACACACACACACACACACACACACACACACACACACACACACACACACACUUCCCUCCUUUCUCAAAUGUAUUCAAUUGCCUAGGACAGCCUUUUUAUGUCUGCUCAGCAUUAAAACUAGAAUCAUGUUUUGAGUUUGAGCAGAAAUAAAGUGUGUGUACACAUGAUAUAAAUGUACCUCUCAAGUGCAGUUUGAUGGCUUCAGACUUUAAGUGCUAACAGAAUCUACAGAAGCUUCUAAUCAAGUUUGUCAUCCAAAAAUUGCGUUCAUAUGGUAAUGUUUUCUCUAAAAACACAUUUUGUUAUUAUUAUCCUGUAUUUACAGCCCAAUGAUUGGUGCUCCAUGCUAGCAGCGCUGAUGCCAAAACAAACGUCACUUCCUCGUUGCAAUUAUAAACACAUGCCAUGGAUGGGCACUCUGGUUAAAAUCACCAGCACUUCAAUUUAGCUGUAAAUUUGUAAUAAUUAUCUACACGUUAACAUUAUUUCAUUCAUUUAUACAGAAUUAUUGCCUUCAGAUUGGAAGGCUAAGGAGGAAUAUUUUUAAGAGAAUAACAUAAAACUCAAGGCUGUAUGGGUUUUGUGACCAAUAUCAGGUGGAUCACAUUUAACAAUUGUGCAUUGUAUAAGUAUGACUGGGGUCAUUUCCCACCUAGCUGACCUUUCUUAAGGAGGCAACCAAG
rnacentral:lncRNA from 1 species